AUCCAUUUCUUGUUCAAUUUAUAUGGCUACUUCGGAUUGGCGAUGUGUUUAUUGGUUGUUGAUUCCUGCUUUCAGGCAAAGUUCGAGGAUCUUCGCGCCAAGGGAUGCAACUUGUUAGUUAAUAUUUGUCAGUGCAUGCUGCAUGUACGCAGUAGCCGAGUAAUAUAUACUUCACUGCUCUCUCUUUCCGAAUAGCCAAACAUAGUUGUUUGAAAUUCUCAUUUCAGUCCGACGCCGGGGAUUUGGUGCGUCGCUGACAACUUGAAUUUCUGUUGGGAAGGUCCUCAGUGCGUGAUGUCAUGUGCAAAAAGAGCACAGACCUCUUCCUCAACAGGGUUAUACUUGCUGCCUUGCCAUGGAUGGUGUGAAAAUCUUGGCAUCCGGUUUUCAGGAAGAUGAAAAGGUUGAGAUAGGGAAGUUAGUUAGUGCAAUGGGGGGAGUAUUGCUUACGAAAGCAUCGCUAGAUGUCAGUUUUUUUUCUUCACUCUGUCUACAUUUUGGAAAUAUGAAUGCUAUCAUAGUGUGAGAGGUUUCUUUAUCGACAAAAUUAAUUGGAGUUCGAAAUUUGAAGAAGUCUUUCUAUGACUGUCCCUUGAACUCCAAAGGAUGGAUGUUUCUGGGAUACCAAUGGGCACAUUCUCUAUUCUCCUCUUCCUUGUUGUGUCCCUUUGCCUGGAUUUGAAAACAUACGGUUUUGUGUUUCACAAUAUGAUGAUAAAAGACAGAGUAUUGUUAAGAAAUCUGUGUUUUGUACUUGGGGCCAAGUUUGUGGAGAAGCUGACAAAGAAGGUAACCCAUCUAAUAUGCAAGUUCACGGAUGGGACAAAGUAUGAGGCUGCUUGUAAAUGGGGGAAACAAUGCAUUACAGCUGAAUGGAUAUAUGAGUGUGUCAGACAAGUAACUUUGCGAUUUUGUUGCUUUUCAAUUAUAUAUGUUCAUAUACAUGCAUAUCCUGAUAGAAUUCUAGACCCAUUGUGUUUAUAUUUCUUCUCUUAGAUAUGGAAUGAUUUUGUUUGAAAACAAAAUUUUCAGAGAAAGAUUGUUUCUCUUGAUUUGUAUCGCCCAAAAGAAGUUACAGCUCAAGACAGAGUGACAUGCUUGUGCACUGUCAGCCAAUUUCCUACUCAAGCUGCCCCAAUGAUAGCCAAUGAAAGCGUAUCCCAGUUUCCUAUCCAUUCUGCCAUUCUGAGAGACCAAUCAGCUGGAACUAACAGUAGCUCUAUAGGAGCAGCUGAACGAAUAAGUUAUACUAAAAGAAGGCGCAAGUUAUUUGACGAAGCCAUACUUUGCGUUCAGUUUUUGUUGGAAACAGUUCCACUCAAUCUGACUGCAAUUUGAAUUCCACAAAACAAACUACAUCAAAAUCUUCUGUAGUAACUUCACACGUUCCUGAUGUCGCUUCCGCAAUCGAGGACUUGUUGGAGCAGAAAACUAAGGUUCAUCAUCAAAAACCACCGUAGCCGAUCGUGGGGAUCCUAACGAUCCCCGAGUAAGAUUAAAACGUGAUUGCGUUGGGAUUAUGGAUGCUUUCAAACUUGAGCAGCCUUUUCAUCAUGUUGUAAUUCUAGCCAACACCCAUCUUUAUUGGGAUCCAGAAUGGGCUGAUGUGAAGCUCGCUCAGGCUAAGUAUCUUUUAUCACGCCUAGCUCGAUUCAAAUCUUUAGUUGCUGAAAAUUUUGAAUGCACACCCUCAGUACUUUUGGCUGGCGAUUUCAAUUCAACCCCAGGAGAUAAGGUACACAUUGUGUUAUACACUUAUGUAUGUAAUAUACUAAAGAUGGGACCGUGGGCAUAUAUGACGGCUUUAGUGAAACACAAACGGAGUCUCAGGUUGGGCCUAUGAGAUAAUGUUGUCCAUUAGUGGAUGAGUUUCUCAAAAGCAGCGCCAUGAUGCCCAAACUUUAUGCGUGUGCAUGUCUGUCUCAUGAGUUUCAAGCACUUGGCCAUUUUUCUACAAAUAGCUACAUUCUUCCUAACGAUAUUAAACUGAACGUCGUGGGGCGCUGCAUUAUAUUGUAAGGCUGAAGCAUAAUUAGCUUCAUAUCCUUUCUCGAAUGCCUCAACUUGAAUUGGUUGAUGUUGCAUGACUUCAAAUUGACUUAAUUAGCUCCAAAAUGAUUUUAGCGCCAAAUUUCAUC